rnacentral:lncRNA from 1 species
CAGCCGAGGGGCCUCGAUACCUAGCCUAUAACCUUCCUGGGGUCCGUCCCAACAUUCUUUGUUUCAAUCAAACUCCAAAACGGUCGACUUUUCAGGUACUCCGGGAUACGGCGUGUUUUUCACAACCGUAGCCUUGUCUGUAGUUGACGUGGUGUGCAGUUGGUGGGACUCUUGUACGUUGGACCGGGACUUCCAAAGUUAUGUCCACUUGUUGGAGGUUCCUCUGCAGCUACAGACAUUCACAAGUAGCACAUACGUGAGAAUGCUACAUGCCUCAGCUGCCGGACCGGUUUCAUCAAUUGUUGAUCUGAACCCAAUCAAGCGUUUAUGGGAUAUUCAGGGACGACGCCUGAGUCAGCGUUUUCCACCUCAUUCAAACAGGUGACAGAGUGAGUCGAGUCAUCGGUGUGGCAGCGAGUUGAGUUGUCCAGUUGGCUGAGGAGAGUUGCGGGAAGAGGCAAAGGAGCUCGGGUCCGAGGCGAGAAGGACGGCGGUCGGCGACGAGGUCGCGGUGUGGGGGGGGGGGGGGGGGGGGGGGGGGGGGGGGGGGGGGGGGGGGGGGGGGGG